rnacentral:rRNA from 1 species
GACGAACGCUGGCGGCGUGCUUAACACAUGCAAGUCGAACGGAAAGGCCCUGCUUUUGUGGGGUGCUCGAGUGGCGAACGGGUGAGUAACACGUGAGUAACCUGCCCUUGACUUUGGGAUAACUUCAGGAAACUGGGGCUAAUACCGGAUAGGAGCUCCUGCUGCAUGGUGGGGGUUGGAAAGUUUCGGCGGUUGGGGAUGGACUCGCGGCUUAUCAGCUUGUUGGUGGGGUAGUGGCUUACCAAGGCUUUGACGGGUAGCCGGCCUGAGAGGGUGACCGGCCACAUUGGGACUGAGAUACGGCCCAGACUCCUACGGGAGGCAGCAGUGGGGAAUAUUGCACGAUGGGCGGAAGCAUGAUGCAGCAACGCCGCGUGCGGGAUGACGGCCUUCGGGUUGUAACCCGCUUUCGCCUGUGACGAAGCGUGAGUGACGGUAAUGGGUAAAGAAGCACCGGCUAACUACGUG